CCCUUAGAUGUUCUGGGCCGCACGCGCGCUACACUGACGAAUGCAACGAGCUUAUAACCUUGGCCGAAAGGUCUGGGUAAUCUCCAAAUUUCGUCGUGAUGGGGAUAGAUUAUUGCAAUUAUUAAUCUUCAACGAGGAAUGCCUAGUAAGCGCAAGUCAUCAGCUUGCGUUGAUUACGUCCCUGCCCUUUGUACACACCGCCCGUCGCUCCUACCGAUUGAAUGGUCCGGUGAAGCGUUCGGACCGUGGCCUUUGGACGGUUCGCCGCCGGCGACGCUGGUAGAAGAUCUUUAAACCUUAUCAUUUAGAGGAAGGAGAAGUCGUAACA
rnacentral:rRNA from 1 species